GGGGUAAGUUCCGACCUGCACGAAAGGCGUAACGAUUUGGAUACUGUCUCGGAGAGAGGCUCGGCGAAAUAGACUUGUCUGUGAAGAUGCGGACUACCUGCACCUGGACAGAAAGACCCUAUGAAGCUUUACUGUAACUUGGAAUUGACUUUAAACUUUAUUUGCGUAGGAUAGGUGGGAGGCUGAGAAGAAAAUCUUCUGGGGUUUUUGGAGCCGUCCUUGAAAUACCACCCUAAUAAUGUGAGAAUUCUAACUUUUCACUGUAAACCAGUUGAAGGACAUUUCCAGGCGGUCAGUUUGACUGGGGCGGUCGCCUCCCAAAGAGUAACGGAGGCGCGCGAAGGUUGGCUCAGAGCGGUCGGAAAUCGCUCGUUGAGUGCAAUGGCAGAAGCCAGCCUGACUGCAAGACUGACACGUCGAGCAGAGUCGAAAGACGGCCAUAGUGAUCCGGUGGUCCCGAGUGGAAGGGCCAUCGCUCAACGGAUAAAAGGUACGCUGGGGAUAACAGGCUGAUGAUGCCCAAGAGUCCAUAUCGACGGCAUCGUUUGGCACCUCGAUGUCGGCUCAUCUCAUCCUGGGGCUGAAGCAGGUCCCAAGGGUAUGGCUGUUCGCCAUUUAAAGAGGUACGUGAGCUGGGUUUAGAACGUCGUGAGACAGUUCGGUCCCUAUCUGCCAUGGGCGUUGGAGAUUUGAGAGGGGCUGCUCCUAGUACGAGAGGACCGGAGUGGACGAACCUCUGGUGUUCCGGUUGUCACGCCAGUGGCAUUGCCGGGUAGCUAUGUUCGGAAGCGAUAACCGCUGAAAGCAUCUAAGCGGGAAGCGCGCCUCAAGAUGAGAUCUCCCGGGACACAAGUCCCCUAAAGGAACCAUCAAGACUAGGUGGUUGAUAGGUCAGGUGUGUAAGCGCAGCAAUGCGUUGAGCUAACUGAUACUAAUGAUCCGUGUGGCUUGAC
rnacentral:rRNA from 1 species